GACGAACGCUGGCGGCGUGCUUAACACAUGCAAGUCGAGCGGUAAGGCCCUUUCGGGGGUACACGAGCGGCGAACGGGUGAGUAACACGUGGGUGACCUGCCCUUAGCUCUGGGAUAAGCCUGGGAAACUGGGUCUAAUACCGGAUAUGACUCCAUGACGCAUGUUGUGGGGUGGAAAGCCUUGUGCGGCUAGGGAUGGGCCCGCGGCCUAUCAGCUUGUUGGUGGGGUGAUGGCCUACCAAGGCGACGACGGGUAGCCGACCUGAGAGGGCGACCGGCCACACUGGGACUGAGACACGGCCCAGACUCCUACGGGAGGCAGCAGUGGGGAAUCUUGCGCAAUGGGCGAAAGCCUGACGCAGCGACGCCGCGUGAGGGAUGACGGCCU
rnacentral:rRNA from 1 species